GAAUGCUUAAGGUAUUAGACAAUAUUUUCAUCAGAGCUAAUAAUUACUUCUCCCCCUUUUUGUCAUAAUCAAAAAGACAUAGUAAAAAAGAAUAAGUAAAGAGAAAAUAAAUAAAGAGAAAAACUUGAAAUUUAUAGAUAGAAGCACAAAGGCAACAAACAAAACAUCAGAUUCAAAGGAACAAGAAAAACAUCAGAUCCAAAAGAAGACAGAAGCAAAAAAAAUAGGCAAGCAAAAAAAAUAAUCCUAAGUGCCUAAGGGUUCGGAGGCGGAGGCAUUCUCUGAAGCAGCAUAGCAAGCAUGUUCUGGAUGUUUUCGUUGACAGUAUCUUGCUUGUCCAUUCU
rnacentral:lncRNA from 1 species